GACGAAGGGUGCAAGCGUUAUCCGGAUUCAUUGGGUUUAAAGGGAGCGUAGGUGGCCUUAUAAGUCAGUGGUGAAAUCUCUGGGCUUAACCCAGAAAUUGCCAUUGAUACUGUAGGGCUUGAGUAUAGUUGCCGUUGGCGGAAUAUGACAUGUAGUGGUGAAAUACAUAGAGAUGUCAUAGAACACCGAUUGCGAAGGCAGCUGACGAAACUAUAACUGACACUGAGGCUCGAAAGUGUGGGGAUCAAACAGG
rnacentral:rRNA from 1 species